rnacentral:lncRNA from 1 species
ACAAUAUUCACGGAAAGCCGAUCUAAUCAUCGGUUCCAGCUAGCGUCUACACAUUAAAGCCUAUAUCUCAUCUCCUCUUGUAACUCUCUUAGAUGUGUGGUCCCUUUGAUAGCUCCUUUCUACAUCUGAUUAUGCUUGUAUUACUUCCUUUUCAAUCUGUUGACUCAGAGCAUAUACCUCAAUGACUAUCUCUCCCCUGCCCUAAAAUUUUCUGUGUAGACGCUGCCCGACUUGAAGCAUAAUAACUGAUCUCGUCAUCAGAAAUAAACACCCAAAAGAAAUAGAAUUUCUUCAAAAUUGUCAUCUUCUCUGUGAUGCUUUUGAUCUGGGGAAAUCUUCUCCUACUUGACAUGCAGCUGCUCCAGAAUCUUGUACAACUGUAGUAUAUUCUUGCUUGUUGAUAUGCUCAAAUUUACUUUAAAAGCAACUCUGCAAUUUCAAAGGUCGGUUGCAGUACUUAGGGUCGAAUCCACAUAGAUGGAAACAAUAAACUAAUGGUUGAGGCUUUGACCAAGCAUAAAGAAUUGACAACUCAGAAGGCGGGGAUUACCGCUUGCUGGGAACUUAAAUGUGAAUGGCAGGACAAGUGAGUUGAAUACUAGAAGCUUGAGGAAAAGUUUCACCAUUAUAAGUUGGUUAUGGUGGCCGAUGAUGAUUCAGGAGGGGUUCUUCCAUGAUGAUUGUUGAUGGAGCGUCGGCUUCUGGUAAUGGCUUCUCAUACUGAUCACUUGUCCCUAUUUGUCAGCAUAGUUUUUUUUUUGGAUUAUGUUUGAUGGGGCGUCGGCUUCUGGUAAUGGCUUCUCAUACUGAUCACUUGUCCCUAUUUGUCAGCAUAGUUUUUUUUUUGGAUUAUGUCUGGUCCAUGCAAAAAUUUAUUCUCUAUUGUUCUCCUAUUUUUGUAUGCUUUUUACGUAUUCCUUCCGUUUUUCUGCCCCCCUCCCUAAGUGUGCUUCCGGCC